rnacentral:misc_RNA from 1 species
GAUGAAGAACGCAGCGAAAUGCGAUAACUAAUGUGAAUUGCAGAAUUCCGUGAAUCAUUGAGUCUUUGAACGCACAUUGCACCCUCUGGUAUUCCGGGGGGUAUGCCUGUCCGAGCGUCAUUACAACCCCUCAAGCUCAGCUUGGUGUUGGGCCCCGCCGCCCCGGCGGGCCCUAAAGUCAGUGGCGGUGCCGUCCGGCUCCGAGCGUAGUAAUUCUUCUCGCUCUGGAGGUCCGGUCGUGUGCUCGCCAGCAACCCCCAAUUUUUUUCAGGUUGACCUCGGAUCAGGUAGGGAUACCCGCUGAACUUAAGCAUAUCAAUAAGCGGAGGA